UCUAGAACUCGAGAUAUGGGCUGAACACUGAAUAAUGUCUGGGCUGCAGGACAGAUUCUGACUUCUCCAUUGUUGCUAAGAUUUGGACUUCCAACAGCAGAAUUGAGUCUUGGAAUCUGCAUGAAUGUUUUAGGCCUAUGUCUUAGCUUUUUAGC
rnacentral:pre_miRNA from 1 species